rnacentral:lncRNA from 1 species
GUUGUCUUUUCAUUCACUCAAAAAAUGCUUAAAUAUGUCAAUGUUAGUAACUGUUGUUAGUUACUUCCAUGUUGGUAACCGCUGGUAGUUACCUUCAGGUUGGUAACUGCAGGUAAUUAUUACAAUAUUUAAAUAUAAACUGACUUCUUAAAAUAAAAUAGGCUUUUAAAAUAAAAGAGUUAUUGGGCCAGCCCAAGACUCCUUCAUUUGAUCUUCGAAUUGGGUGACAUAAUCCUUGAAUUUAUGCGGAACCCUAACCUCUCUAAUCGAACGUCCAUCUGCUUGAAUUUUCCUCUUGUCUUGAAUUACAUUCCAAUCCCACACAACAUGUUCUACCACAUUUCGCACAGACGACCGGAUCGUAUCAUCUGCAUUUUGGAAAAUUGGGUUUGCAUUUAAAAUGAGUCAUUGUGAUGUCGACUGCGGACUUAAAUUUUUUAUUAACCUGUAAAU